rnacentral:rRNA from 1 species
UACGUAGGGUGCAGGCGUUAAUCGGAAUUACUGGGCGUAAAGCGUGCGCAGGCGGUCUUUUAAGUCAGAUGUGAAAUCCCCGGGCUUAACCUGGGAACUGCGUUUGAAACUGGAAGGCUUGAGUGUGGCAGAGGGGGGUGGAAUUCCACGUGUAGCAGUGAAAUGCGUAGAGAUGUGGAGGAACACCGAUGGCGAAGGCAGCCCCCUGGGCUAACACUGACGCCUCAUGCACGAAAGCGUGGGGAGCAAACAGG